rnacentral:lncRNA from 1 species
UCUCUCAGUAUCGCUCUCAAAAGUUCCCAAUCAGUGUCGUUCCCAAUCGCUCGCGCCUCGCUCAAACACACCGGGACAUGCAAGAACUCGUGGAUGGGAUAAAAUAGAGCUCACCUUCGGCGGUGAUGACGUUGAUGAAGCUUCGAACUCCUCCAACUCUUCAACCAGGUUUUCUUUGAUUUUUAGGUUAGGGUUUUUUGUAUUUGAAAAUUUCUUCGCCGUUUUUUCUCCUCUCUUCUGAUUCGCUUUCGCUCACUAUUUAUAUCUCCUGAUUUAGGGUUUCAAAGAUGCCUUUGGUAUUCCAGAAGAGUAACUCUGCAAAGCACUUUGGAUGUUCAGAAAUUGGAUUGACC